rnacentral:lncRNA from 1 species
GUAAGAACUUGUUAAGCCAACAGAACAUCUUUACCACAAGCUGUAGGGUAAGGGUAUGUGUUUCCAUCAAAACUUACGACCAAAAAGAAGGGCUAAAAGAUACGACCAUCACAAAACUAUAACUGGAAAACAGUUUAGAGCAGAGGUCGACGAAAACUGUUAAAGAUUCUGGGGUAUGCCCAGAUUCCAUCAAAACUUACGACCAAAAAGAAGGGCUAAAAGAUACGACCAUCACAAAACUAUAACUGGAAAACAGUUUAGAGCAGAGGUCGACGAAAACUGUUAAAGAUUCUGGGGUAUGCCCAGAUUCCUUAUCCUGCAUAAGUUAUUCAGUCUUCGCAGUUAUGCACUUGGUUCUUUGUCAUCUUCAUCAUCCUCUCUAUCUUCAUUUUCAUCUUCUUGACCAUCAUUUUCAUC